rnacentral:tRNA from 4 species
GCCGAUGUGGCGGAAUUGGCAGACGCGCACGACUCAAAAUCGUGUUCCUUCGGGAGUGUCGGUUCGACCCCGACCAUCGGUAUCACGA